CACGUAGGCGGCCUGGUACGUCAGAUGUGAAAGCCCGGGGCUUAACCCCGGAAGUGCAUUUGAUACUGUCAGGCUUGAGUAUGGGAGAGGGAAGUGGAAUUCCUGGUGUAGAGGUGAAAUUCGUAGAUAUCAGGAGGAACACCGGUGGCGAAGGCGACUUCCUGGACCAAUACUGACGCUGGGGUGCGAAGGCGUGGGUAGCAAACAGGAUUAGAUACCCUGGUAGUCC
rnacentral:rRNA from 1 species